CAAAGAGGAGCAUGAGGAAGAGCAGCACAAUGGCGCAGAACAGCCCGUUGCUGCUGACGGCCACGGGAACCAUACCGUGGAUGAACGAGUACAUGAGCCAUGGCAGCGGCAAACUUUUAACACACAGCAAGAAAAAUAUAUAGAGAUAUUAAAGGUGGUUACACUCUUGGGCCACCGCACACCAACCGACACGGCCGAAGGCGACUCUUCUAAGAGUACGCUUCCAACGUAGCUGACCUGAUGGGCCCACCACAUCAUGAGAUAAGAGAAGAUAGCAAUCCACAGAAUGGAGUCCAGGAAGUAUUUGAAUGUGGCGUUGCCUGUUUGCGGACGUCAGGGACGGUGAGCCACAGAGGGAAGACGAUGGGCAGCAGGAUGAGGUAAGUGACUUGCUUCCGUCGCGUGUCGGGCCAC